UGGGGAAUAUUGCACAAUGGAGGAAACUCUGAUGCAGCGACGCCGCGUGAGUGAAGAAGUAGUUCGCUAUGUAAAGCUCUAUCAGCAGGGAAGAUAGUGACGGUACCUGACUAAGAAGCUCCGGCUAAAUACGUGCCAGCAGCCGCGGUAAUACGUAUGGAGCAAGCGUUAUCCGGAUUUACUGGGUGUAAAGGGAGUGUAGGUGGCCAUGCAAGUCAGAAGUGAAAAUCCGGGGCUCAACCCCGGAACUGCUUUUGAAACUGUAAGGCUGGAGUGCAGGAGGGGUGAGUGGAAUUCCUAGUGUAGCGGUGAAAUGCGUAGAUAUUAGGAGGAACACCAGUGGCGAAGGCGGCUCACUGGACUGUAACUGACACUGAGGCUCGAAAGCGUGGGGAGCAAACAGGAUUAGAUACCCUGGUAGU
rnacentral:rRNA from 1 species